rnacentral:rRNA from 1 species
ACGGCAGCGCGGGCUUCGGCCUGGCGUCGAGUGGCGAACGGGUGAGUAAGACAUCGGAACGUGUCCUGGAGUGGGGGAUAGCCCGGCGAAAGCCGGAUUAAUACCGCAUACGAUCUGUGGAUGAAACGCGGGGGACCGAAAGGCCUCGCGCUCAAGGGGCGGCCGAUGGCAGAUUAGCUAGUUGGUGGGGUAAAGGCCUACCAAGGCGACGAUCUGUAGCUGGUCUGAGAGGACGACCAGCCACACUGGGACUGAGACACGGCCCAGACUCCUACGGGAGGCAGCAGUGGGGAAUUUUGGACAAUGGGGGCAACCCUGAUCCAGCAUUGACGCGUGUGUGAAGAAGGCCUUCGGGUUGUAAAGCACUUUUGUCCGGAAAGAAAACUUCGGGGCUAAUACCUCUGGAGGAUGACGGCACCGGAAGAAUAAGCACCGGCUAACUACGUGCCAGCAGCCGCGGUAAUACGUAGGGUGCGAGCGUUAAUCGGAAUUACUGGGCGUAAAGCGUGCGCAGGCGGUUCGCUAAGACCGAUGUGAAAUCCCCGGGCUUAACCUGGGAACUGCAUUG